rnacentral:misc_RNA from 1 species
AACCUAGCACACCUGCGGUGUGUACCUGCGGAGGGAUCAUUAAUAAAUGUUACUUCGGUAACUUAAUUAAUCCCUAACACCUGUGCAUCUUGUCGCUUCGGCGUCAUUUUAUAAACAUCAGUGUAAUGAAUGUAAAGUAUUAUAACAAAUACAACUUUUAACAAUGGAUCU